rnacentral:rRNA from 1 species
UGGGGAAUUUUGGACAAUGGGCGCAAGCCUGAUCCAGCCAUGCCGCGUGCGGGAAGAAGGCCUUCGGGUUGUAAACCGCCUUUGUCAGGGAAGAAAUCUUCUGAGUUAAUACCUCGGGAGGAUGACGGUACCUGAAGAAUAAGCACCGGCUAACUACGUGCCAGCAGCCGCGGUAAUACGUAGGGUGCAAGCGUUAAUCGGAAUUACUGGGCGUAAAGCGUGCGCAGGCGGUUUUGUAAGACAGAGGUGAAAUCCCCGGGCUCAACCUGGGAACUGCCUUUGUGACUGCAAGGCUUGAGUGCGGCAGAGGGGGAUGGAAUUCCGCGUGUAGCAGUGAAAUGCGUAGAUAUGCGGAGGAACACCGAUGGCGAAGGCAAUCCCCUGGGCCUGCACUGACACUCAUGCACGAAAGCGUGGGGAGCAAACAGGAUUAGAUAGCCCUGGUAGUCCACGCCCUAAAACGAUGUCAACUGGUUGUUGGGAAGGUUCCUUCUCAGUAACGUAGCUAACGCGUGAAGUUGACCGCCUGGGGAGUACGGCCGCAAGGUUG